GAUGAACGCUGGCGGUGUGCCUAAUACAUGCAAGUCGAGCGAACAGACGAGGAGCUUGCUCCUCUGACGUUAGCGGCGGACGGGUGAGUAACACGUGGAUAACCUACCUAUAAGACUGGGAUAACUUCGGGAAACCGGAGCUAAUACCGGAUAAUAUAUUGAACCGCAUGGUUCAAUAGUGAAAGACGGUUUUGCUGUCACUUAUAGAUGGAUCCGCGCCGCAUUAGCUAGUUGGUAAGGUAACGGCUUACCAAGGCAACGAUGCGUAGCCGACCUGAGAGGGUGAUCGGCCACACUGGAACUGAGACACGGUCCAGACUCCUACGGGAGGCAGCAGUAGGGAAUCUUCCGCAAUGGGCGAAAGCCUGACGGAGCAACGCCGCGUGAGUGAUGAAGGUCUUCGGAUCGUAAAACUCUGUUAUUAGGGAAGAACAAAUGUGUAAGUAACUAUGCACGUCUUGACGGGACCUAAUCAGAAAGCCACGGCUAACUACGU
rnacentral:rRNA from 1 species